CCUGGGUCCCAGUGGCAACAGAUGCUGGAGAGGUGAGGCAUCCCCAUGCUGCUGCCCAAUUGGCUGUCCCCCAAGCUCCUUCUGUGGUGGCAAUUCUUUGAUCACACUGACACUUGCUCUGAAGAUAUCUACUCCACUCAAGGUGGCCUUCUCACCUCUGGAAGGAGGCCAGGAAAGCUGCAGUUUUCGCCUCAUAUCAGCCUGAAAACCCAGGGAAUGGAUCCAGGCCCAGCAACUGACCAACAACUGACCAACCCAGGGCACCAGCACCAUUGUGGCCAAGCUCCCAGGAGAAGAGUAGCUGGUUUUGGUUAGUUAAUAUAUUUUUGUAAUGGCUGACAUUGAAAAAAAAAUGCCUUCUGGAAUAAGUAAGCAUUUAAAAAAAUUUUUAUCACCGCACCUAUGGCAUGUGGAGCUCCUGGUCUAGGAAUCAAAUCUGAGCUGCAGCUGUGACCCACACCACAGCUGUGCAACACUGGAUCCUUAACCCACUGCACUGGGCCAAGGAUUGAACCUGUGCUGCCCCAGAGAAAAUGCUGGAUCCCCAGCCUGAUACACCACAGUGGGAACUCCUGGAAUAAGAAAGCUUUUUAGUGACUAAUUAGUUUGGACUCUAAAAAUAUUGUACUCUAUUGGUCCCAUCAUUCUUAACUCCACUGAAUUGUAUGGACUAGUUUAUUUACUAGUUGUCUCAUGACAACCUCAUAUGAUGUAGGUAUUAUUAUUCCCAAUAAACAGAUAAGGACACUGCA
rnacentral:lncRNA from 1 species